CGAGCAGUAGCUCAGUGGUUGAGUUCCAGCUUCGUAUGCGGGAAGAUCCGCGUUCGAUUCCCGGCUGCUUAC
rnacentral:tRNA from 1 species